rnacentral:rRNA from 1 species
CAAUAAGCGGAGGAAAAGAAACUAACAAGGAUUCCCCUAGUAACGGCGAGUGAAGCGGGAUGAGCUCAAAUUUAAAAUCUGGCGGCCUCAGGUCGUCCGAGUUGUAGUCUAGAGAAUCGUUUUCCGCGUUGGCCUGUGUACAAGUCCCUUGGAACAGGGCGUCAUAGAGGGUGAGAAUCCCGUCCUUGACACAGACUAUCAAUGCUUUGUGAUGCGAUCUCGAAGAGUCGAGUUGUUUGGGAAUGCAGCUCAAAAUGGGUGGUAAAUUCCAUCUAAAGCUAAAUAUUGGCGAGAGACCGAUAGCGAACAAGUACCGUGAGGGAAAGAUGAAAAGCACUUUGGAAAGAGAGUUAAACAGUACGUGAAAUUGUUAAAAGGGAAACGAUUGAAGUCAGUCAUGCUUUCCGAGACUCAGCCGAUUCUGUCGGUGUACUUCUCGGUUGGCAGGCCAGCAUCAGUUUCGAUCUGUGGAAAAGGUUGGAGGGAACGUGGCAUCCUCGGAUGUGUUAUAGCCCUUCUUCGAAUACAUAGAGCGGGACUGAGGAACGCAGCGCGCCUUUUAUUAGGUUGGCCCUCGGGUACAUACGCGCUUAGGAUGCUGGCAUAAUGGCUUUAAACGACCCGUCUUGAAACACGGACCAAGGAGUCUAACAUGUUUGCGAGUGUUUGGGUGGUAAACCCGAACGCGUAAUUAAAGUGAAUGCAGGUGGGAUCCGCAAGGAGCACCAUCGACCGAUCUGGAUCUUUUGUGAUGGAUUUGAGUAAGAGCACAUAUGUUGGGACCCGAAAGAUGGUGAACUAUGCCUGAAUAGGGCGAAGCCAGAGGAAACUCUGGUGGAGGCUCGUAGCGAUUCUGACGUGCAAAUCGAUCGUCAAAUUUGGGUAUAGGGCGAA